rnacentral:rRNA from 1 species
UACGGGGGGUGCAAACGUUGCUCGGAAUCAUUGGGCGUAAAGCGCACGUAGGCGGUCCAGCAAGUCGGGUGUGAAAGCCCUCGGCUCAACCGAGGAAGUGCAUUCGAAACUGCUGAACUUGAGUAUGGAAGAGGGUCGCGGAAUUCCCGGUGUAGAGGUGAAAUUCGUAGAUAUCGGGAGGAACACCAGUGGCGAAGGCGGCGACCUGGGCCAAUACUGACGCUGAGGUGCGAAAGCGUGGGGAGCAAACAGG